CCAGCAGCCUCAAAGAGCAGAAUUAGGUGUCAGGGCAUCCCAGCACAGACGGGGUGAGCUGAAACCUGGCACUGAGCAUCGCGGCUCAGUUCUUUAUAGCAGAAAGGCAGCUGUCUCUGCUCUAACACUUGUUAGCUGAUGUUCAGCGUUAGAUUCAUGUUAGCUCCAGGUGUGGGUGCUGGUAUCUCAUUAGCCACCACCAAAGAGUUCUGCAGCUUUGUCAGAGCACUGCAGGUGGGGGCUGGUAGGUGAUUAAUAAGUUUCCCCCAUACCCCAAUGAGGUGAUAAGGAGUUAUUUGCCUGACCCUGGGAAGUGCUGAGGGGUUGAGCUUUUAAAGCAGCUGUAUGGACGUGGUCUUCCUUAAAGCUGAAAUGACCAAUCUCUUAGUGCUGAGAGAGAAGUACAGGUUGACUACAAGGGACCUGACUUCCAGCCUAAUGGCUGACUCCUGGGUGCCUUUCCCAGUGUCAUGGCCUGGGUUUCCCUUGAGCUAUUUGCAGACUAAUAAAGGACAAUGAAGAACGAUCCAGCAUUCCAGUACCCUUCUGGCAUACAGAUCAAACUCUGGAGGAUGCAUCUUCUAAACACAAAACCUAAAAACUCAGUGAUGGAAGGAGUUGUUUGGAGAGAUGGCUGAAUCUGAGACUUCCGUUAAUCUCUUUUCUGCUCUGAUGCAUUAAUUACUGAGGCUGCUCUCUUCAUUUCAACCCUGCCAUGCCAGGAAUGGUGACUCCAUCACCUCCAUAUUGCUUCCUCAGCCCAGUUAGUGCAGGUGAAUGCUGUGCCUUUGUCCUCUGAGCUACCUCUCUGCUUUGGUGCCAUUUGCAACAAGCUUGGAGAUGCUGGAGCAGAAAGCGCAAGGACCGUGUGUUUGGGAUGCUAAAUAUGGGGCUCUGCCAAUGUGGAACAGUUCAGACAUGGCUGAGGAUCCCUUGUGUUGCUGGGGAGGCUGCAAAGAGGUUGGACUUUAUCACCAGUGAUGGGCACAUCAUGGCGGACAAGAGCAGCUCCUGGCAAUGAGUGAAGAAGAUCUGCCUCUCCUUUUAUAGCACUGUGAAGUUUAUCUUUAGAAUCUGCCAUUUCUAACACUACAGCCCGAAGAUGUUGUUGUAAUGUUUCAUUAAUUGUUAUAGCUCGUUACGGUUUUAAUUACUGCUUUUUUUUUUUUUUAACGUGGGCUUGCUUUCAGUAGUACAAAGCCAUUAGCUCCACUUUUUGUUCAUGUUUUUAAUGUAAAGCCAAGUGCUUUAGCAUCUAAUUACAGUGAACUUGAUAGCGUUAGCUGAGGGGCAGUAAUAAUUACCCCUUGCCCCACUUCAUCUCUUGAUGCACUGCCACAUAUUCUAAUUGUUUCUUAUAUUCUUUGCAUCACGGCACUAAGGAAUAGAAUUAAAUAAAACAAUGAGGAAGGUCAAGAUUUGGGUUGGGGAAGAUUGUAUGCAAAACAUCAUCACCUGCUUUCAUGCACUGCUGACCUCUGCUGCCAUGGUGGGAUGCAAUGGGCUGUGUUAGGAAUUCCAAUAGGCCACAGCUCUCUGCUGUUGCCUCCUUCAUAUGCUCUUCCUGCUCCUCGUAUUGUAGGAGUGAUGGAUUUCCCCCCAACCACCACCUCCACUCUGCCAUGAAGGCUAAAUCUAAUGGCUAAGUGAGCAAGUAGAGGCCAUGGGCAGAGGCAGCUGCCAAUGUGCUCUUGCCAGGUACUCAUUAAAGCCUCCAAAUCUCACAGCAGCCUUUAAUGGCUCAUUGGUUGCGCUCCCGGUGUCUCCACUGCAGCCCUGAUUAAUUUAAUAGUCCCAUAAUACUGAGAAGUGAGGUUUGUUUGGCAGGCUGAUGCCCUGCUGACUCUGGGGCAACCCCUGCAUGGAUAGCAGAUGGUGAGGUGCAAUGUUCUUGUAUCCAAAGGUGGUACAAAUGGGUUUGUCUGUGGA